AAGAGAAUUAAUCAAUUAGAGUCGUCUAUUUCCCUCCCCAGGAUAGAAAUAAAGAUCUUUAAUUGGUUAAUUCUCUUAUGAAUUAUGCAUUUUGUGUUAUGCUGAAAUCUGUGCAGGGGCCCUUAAACUUGUGGAACCAAAUGUAAAAGGCCAUUGCACCGUACAUUUCCUUAAUUGUAACCGAAAGAAAUUGAGCAAUACGAUUGGCUAAUUCGGUUGUUUACGGUUAAUUUGAGCAAUAUGAUUGGUCAAAAUCUUACGGUUACGAUUAAGGAAAUGUACGUGCAAUGUACAGUGCAGUUGAAGAGAAUAAAUUUGAUAGAAAUGGACAUAAGUAACAAUUGAAGGUAAUUUGUUGGAUUCAAAGGUUAAGAACCUUUUCUGAAAUAUUUUUGGGAAUUCUACCAGUUUUUCAAUCGUCACCUGUGAUCUAUAUUACAUAUUAUAAUCCGACAAAUAAAACAAGACGUAGUUAUUUUUGUUCGUGAGAAUUGAGAAAUUAAAAAACGACGGAAAAAGUUACACUGAAGAGGAAAUUAUCAUAGAAUUUUAGUGUGUAUAAGCUGUUGCCCGAAAAGAGAAGAAAAAUGAAUAUAGAGUAUAAAUUCGAAAAAGAAAUUGACUGCAAGCAAGGGGCCGUCAGAUCUGUACGAUUCAGUGUGGACGGUUCAUAUUGCAUAACGUGCGGGUCAGAUAGAAAGCUGAAACUAUGGAAUCCAUACAAGCCUGUUACAUUAAAAACAUAUGGUGGCCAUGGUGAUGAAGUUAUGGAUGCCUGUGCAUCCUGUGACAGUAGCCAAAUUGUAUCUUGUGGAUUAGAUAAAUCUAUAAUUGUCUGGGAUGUGUCAACAGGCAUGCCAGUGCGUCGUUUUAGAGGGCAUGCAGGCCCUGUUACUACAGUCAGAUUUAAUGAAGAAUCAUCAUUGAUCGUUUCUGGAUCCCGUGAUAACAGUGUUAUGUGUUGGGAUGGACGUUCCAAGGCGCAAGAAGCAGUGCAAUCCUUGAAUGAUGCCAAGGAUUCCAUUUCGAGCGUGAGAGUUUCAGAUCAUGAAAUCUUGUCUGGUUCAUUUGAUGGGAAAAUACGGACUUAUGAUAUACGAAUAGGAGAACUUUGUGAGGAUUAUAUGGGAGAUGCAAUUACAUGCGCCAGUUUUACCAGAGAUGGACAAUGUCUAGUCGUCAGUUGUGCGGGCGACGUGAUCAGAUUGAUCGACAAGGACUCAGGAGAGCUACUCGGCGAAUUUACAGGACACACUGGCAAGGAUCUAUGUCUAGAAUCAAGUGUAGACUAUCAAGACACAAGAAUUCUUUCCGGUUCGGCAGAUGGAAAGUUGUGGAUUUGGGAUCUCGUGUCUCAGAAAGUAGUCGCAAAGCUCUCAGGUUUCAACCCUACCAAGUACCCUACUGUAUCGAUAAGUGUUCAUCCACAGAAGAACUGCUUUUUGGCUUCUAAUGGAUCUAAUAUAUUGAUGUGGAGUACGCAUUCUCACACGGACGAUACCGAGUCACAAUAAAACUUAUUCCAUCAUUAUCUUUUUAUAUAGAAAAAGGAAGUGGCGUGUUCACACGCGCGCGUGCGACGCGCGUGAACGCAACAUUCGUAGCGCGUAACAUUUCGACGCCGGCGUCGUGGCGGCCAGGCAAGGAGAGAGCGGGAAAGGAGAGCGUGCACAAUGGAACGAGAGGAGCGAAGCCUGCGCGCGCAGGUGGCGCGAUGUCGGUGCGUCAGAGUCGGCUGUUCGUGACCGGCGUAGUCUCGCUCGCCCGGGAGAGCACGCAUAAGAAGGAGAGAGAGAGAGAGAGAGAGAAAGAGAAAGAGGUGUAGAGUGAGGGAGAGCGAGACGGAGAGCGACGUUACUCGCCUGGCGAUCGAGCGUGGCAGGAGAGAAGCCGACGGAGAACGAGAGAAACCGGCUGCUUAGUCGCAGUGGCGGAUCGAAGGACCUACGGAGUUCGAACUCGUUUCGAGGUUUCCUGUCGCUGGUCGUUUGAGAGAUCCGCCCCGAGGCGCCCCCUCCCUUCCCCUCCUGAAAAUCGGGGACCGGCGCUGAUAAUCCGCCACUGUCGACGCGGGCGGGCGGCCGAGGGAGAAGGACGGAUAUACCUCGCGGGACGCGCACCGAGGUGGCCGCACACGGGGCGGGCCGGUCGGUCUCACCACUUCGCGGAGUGUUCUUCGCGGGAGGAAGAGGAGGAGAGCGGCGACUGACUUACCCGGCGAGAGGAGGACGGGCAACGAGGCGGCGUUAGAAGAACGUAGACGAGAGAAAGAGAGAUAGAGAGUGCUCCGAUCGACGGGUUACCCGACGGGCACGCCGAUGCCGAGCGGCGGCUGCUGGACCGCCGCGUGGUCUUGCGAGGUGGCUCCGUCAGCGAUCGCCGCUCCGUCCGACAGCAGUGCGCGCUGUUAUUGUUAUUGUUGUUGAUCGAUAUCCGC